rnacentral:snRNA from 1 species
GUGCUCACUUCAGCAGCACAUUUACUAAACAAUACAGAGAAGAUUAGCAUGGCCCCUGCGCAAGGAGGACACACAAAUUCGUGAAGCGUUCCAUAAAACA